GACGAACGCUGGCGGCGUGCUUAACACAUGCAAGUCGAGCGGUAAGGCCCUUUCGGGGGUACACGAGCGGCGAACGGGUGAGUAACACGUGGGUGACCUGCCCUCAGCUCUGGGAUAAGCCUGGGAAACUGGGUCUAAUACUGGAUAUGACUCCACGGUGCAUGUCGUGGGGUGGAAAGCCUUGUGCGGCUGAGGAUGGGCCCGCGGCCUAUCAGCUUGUUGGUGGGGUGANGGCCUACCAAGGCGACGACGGGUAGCCGGCCUGAGAGGGCGACCGGCCACACUGGGACCGAGACACGGCCCAGACUCCUACGGGAGGCAGCAGUGGGGAAUCUUGCGCAAUGGGCGAAAGCCUGACGCAGCGACGCCGCGUGAGGGAUGACGGCCUGGUGUAAC
rnacentral:rRNA from 1 species